AUUGAACGCUGGCGGCAGGCCUAACACAUGCAAGUCGAGCGGAUGAGAAGAGCUUGCUCUUCGAUUCAGCGGCGGACGGGUGAGUAAUGCCUAGGAAUCUGCCUAGUAGUGGGGGACAACGUUUCGAAAGGAACGCUAAUACCGCAUACGUCCUACGGGAGAAAGUGGGGGAUCUUCGGACCUCACGCUAUUAGAUGAGCCUGGGUCGGAUUAGCUAGUUGGUAGGGUAAAGGCCUACCAAGGCGACGAUCCGUAACUGGGCUGAGAGGAUGAUCAGUCAACCUGGAACUGAGACACGGUCCAGACUCCUACGGGAGGCAUCAGUGGGGAAUAUUGGACAAUGGGCGAAAGCCUGCUCCAGCCAUGCCGCGUGUGUGAAGAAGACCUUCGGGUCGUAAAGCACUUGAAGUUGGGAGGAAGGGCUCAUAGCGAAUACCUGUGAGUCUUGACGUUACCAACAGAAUAAGCACCGGCUAACUUCGUGCCAGCCGCCGCCGUAA
rnacentral:rRNA from 1 species